rnacentral:rRNA from 1 species
ACGCUGGCGGCGUGCCUAACACAUGCAAGUCGAGCGAGUGAAUCUCCUUCGGGAGUGAAGCUAGCGGCGGACGGGUGAGUAACACGUGGGCAACCUGCCUCAUAGAGGGGAAUAGCCUUCCGAAAGGAAGAUUAAUACCGCAUAAGAUUGUAGCUUCGCAUGAAGUAGCAAUUAAAGGAGCAAUCCGCUAUGAGAUGGGCCCGCGGCGCAUUAGCUAGUUGGUGAGGUAACGGCUCACCAAGGCGACGAUGCGUAGCCGACCUGAGAGGGUGAUCGGCCACAUUGGGACUGAGACACGGCCCAGACUCCUACGGGAGGCAGCAGUGGGAAUAUUGCACAAUGGGGAAACCCUGAUGCAGCAACGCCGCGUGAGUGAUGACGGCCUUCGGGUUGUAAAGCUCUGUCUUCAGGGACGAUAAUGACGGUACCUGAGGAGGAAGCCACGGCUAACUACGUG